UUUUGAAAACUUCUAGAACAAACAAUUAACUUAAUCACAUAAUUUUAUCUUUAUGAUAAGUUUGAUCUUUUAUUUUUAUUGGCAAGAAAAUUCAAAUCAAAUUUUACAAAUAAUUAAUUUAUUACAAAAUAUCAUAAUUAUCUUAUAAUUUGAGAAGUAUCUUUCAAUUAGAUGAGGAUAUCCAUUAUCAUAUCAAAAAAUUUGAAUUUUAAUUAGUAAAACAACUUAUGGCAAUUAUCCAUAUCUAAUUUAAGCCAAAAAUUCGAAAAUCUGCCAACUAACUGGUCACCACAUUGUGUCAUGCCAUAACACGUCUUGGAGGACCAACACGUCGUGUUCCAAUAUGAACACGGCAGAAACAAAAAACGAUUUUCCUUUUGCUUUGAACAAUUCAUAAAUGCAUCAAAUAUAACAGAAAAAGACCCUAAGCUCUGAUACCACUAUUGGGUUUUGAGUAUUGCAACAUUCCUAUGGUGCACAUGCAACCCUAAUGCUUUGGAUCUAGGUUUUUCUCAAUUUGUACAUGCAAAUCAAUUAUCCAAAGCAAAACCCUAGAUCUAGUAUAUACAAUUCAAAAUUCACACACACACACACACAUAUAUAUAUAUAUAUAUAUAUANAUAUAUAUAUAUAUAUAUGUAAAUAUUAGGGUUAUAAUAUUACCUCACUUGUUAUAUUGUAAUAACAAGAACAAUCCUUGAAGUCCUUGAUUCUUGAAAGCUUAGUGCCCCAAGUGUUGUACCUCUAAUGGGGUCACAAACACUCAACACAAUAAAGAUAACUUGGAGAGAAGAAAAUGGGCUAUCCUUAGGGUUUCUCUAGCAUAGGCCGAAAUUCUCAUGUAGAGGGGUUCCUUAUAUAGUUGUGUGGGCUGCUAGGGUUUCUGGAGUAAACCCUAAUUCCUGCUUAAGGCUUAAGCAGCCCAUGGAGCUCCACUUUAGAUCGCCUGGACAAAAUCUAUAGGGCCUCCUUAUAGGAUUUUGUCCACUCCACUCUAUGGAGUCCAUCAGCCCAAUUUUGCAACUAUCAAUGAUUUACAAAACCAGUCCCUUUAUUAUUAAUCAGUUCCUUUAAUCCCAAAAUCAAUAUCAAAUUAGUUUCUGAUUAAUUACUAAUUAAUAAUAUGAUUUCCAAAUAAUAUAUUAAUAAAAUCUAUUUGAAUACCAAUUUAUUAUUCAUAAAAUAAAUCCUACUCUCUCUCCUCUAGUCAUCCUAUCAAGUUGCAUGAGUGAAGGCAACCAAAAGGACCAUGCUCAUAAUCAAAUCAACUACGCACCAAAUAUAGUUAUGGGCUUAGACACCUAAUCUAACAGUAGAUCUUGUCAAUACCUACGCAUGGAUAUAAAGAACGUCGAAAAUGGAGCUCGUAUGUGAAAGUUACGGAAUUUAGAAGUCAGAAGGGUGAUGCUGCGAGUUUCCGAAACCAAUUGCUCGUCCCUUGAAGGAAUUGAAAAUUUUGACAUUCAUGGGAGAGGUUCCGAACAUCAAACAUUCGGACACCCCUAUUUCUCCCUUGUCACCCCUUCUUGAGACCACAGACCACUUUGCAUCCUUGAUUCCUGAGUUUCAACCCAUAGUUGUUAAGAGUCCCGAUUCCAAGCACUUUCCGCCUCUGAUAAACCUAGACCUGAAUCGGACCUCUAGUACUCAAAAGUAUGAUGUUCAAAAUCCAAACCUCAGCCCUCCUAACAACUGUGUUGUUGAGGAAAUCUUUUCGUAAUCAACUUCAUCUGAACUAUUAGAGUGUGUUUGGGUAUCCCUAGAUAGUGAAGUCGAUGAGACAAUCUUAUGUGAUUCUGAACCACAGGUAAUUUCAAAAACAAAUUUGGUUCCCAUUAAGCCUGUGUUCAAUAACCCCUGAGUAGGCCAGACUUCAAAACCCUUGUCUCAAUCCAAAAGAAAGCCAAUGUAAAAUAGGAAGGAUAUUGUAUAUCCCAAAAUGGAAGGUCGAAAUGCACACAAAAAGGAAGUUAAGACUACACAAAAUUCAAGAUUCCUUGAGAACUCCAAAAAGAGUGUAUCUCAGAAUUUUCAUUCCUCAAUCCAUAAUCAAAGCUCCUUCACACCCACCAAGAUCCUCAAGAGACCUUCUAACUCUCUCAGUCUUGUAGAACCAAAGAAAGUGGUCAUUACCAAUCAUCCUAAAUCUUGUGUGAAUACCAUGUCCGUUCAAAACACCUUUCCUCGGACUAUUUCAUCCACUUUCAUUGCUAAAUCUGAUGGCAUAAUUUUUAAACCUAAAUUUUCAAAAACAAGUAUGUAGUAAAGCAAAUCAAAAAUUGUUGAGAAAACACAUUUUUCAAAAUCUUCAAAGCAGCAUCUUGUAUGGAAAGUCAAAUCUCACAUUGAUACAACUCCAGUUCCGAUGGUCACAGUUGUUCCCACCACUUUGGAAACUCAAAGUCCAAAGAAUAUUGUUUCUAACCAUCAAGCCAUUGAAUAUGACUACUGGAUAGAUGAAAAGACAAAGUUGUUCCUAAGUCACAAUCAAAGUCCAAAGCCCGUGCCUAUGUCCCAAAACCUAACUCGGAGCCUAAAAGCUCCACCACUCACUAAUUUUGCAGGAACUUUAUGCUUCGGAGCAAGAAACAAUAUGAUAUACUGAUUGACGAGCAGAAAGAUUUUCUGCGAGAUUUCAAGAUCUCUCCAAAUGCUGGUUAUGUGACAUAUGGAAACAACUAUAAUUCUCAAAUUCGUGGUUAUGGAAUUCUCACCAUUGGAAAUUUCUCUAUCUCAAAUGUGGCCUAUGUAGCCGAUCUGAAACAUAAUUUGAAAAGUGUUUCUCAGCUCACUGAAUCAAAUCGACAUGUUAACUUUUGCAAGAAGCACAGUUAUGUAAUGGCUGAAGACCAAAAAUAGUGUUUAAUCAAGUCAAAUCGGAACAAGAACAUGUACCCACUCGACAUCAACAUGAUUAUUGGCAAACCGCAACUCUUCUGUCUCUCCAAAGUUGUUCCUGACGUCAGUUGGUUAUGGCACCGAAGGCUCGCUCAUCUAAACUUUUAGUACAUGAAUGAUCUCGUAUCCGGUGAAAUGGUGAGAGGUUUACCUAUUCUCAAAUUUGAAAAUGAUCAUUUGUGUGCUGCUUGUGAGUGUGAAAAGCAAUCGAAGAAGGGUCAUCUUGUUAUUAUCGAAAAAUCAAUCUUGGAACCAUUGGAGCUUCUGCACAUUGAUCUUUGUGGACCAUCCACUGUAGAGAGUCUUCAUCAUAAGAAAUACAUUCUUGUGAUUGUUGAUGACUUUACAAGGUUCACUUGGGUCUUCUUCCUAAGGCUGAAAUUAGAAACAGCCUAUGAACUCAUCAACUUUAUUAAAGGAAUAGAAGUUCUCAUCAAACUCCCAGUUAGGAGAAUCCGAAGUGAAAAUGGCUCUGGAUUCACUAACUCUACCAUUGAGAAAUUCCUCACCAAGAAAGGAAUUGACCACAACUUCUCAGCUCCUUACACUCCACAACAGAACGGUGUAUUUGAAAGACGCAAUAGAACUCUUGUUGAAGCUGUUCAAUCCAUGCUAAACUUCACAAAUCUACCACUCUAUCUCUGGGCUAAAGCAGUAUCAACUGCGUACUUCGCUCAAAAUAGAAGUAUCAUCAAUCUACGCCUCAACAUGACACCGUAUAAAGCAAUGAAUGGUUGGAAGCCAAGUAUUUCAUUUCUCCAUGUCUUCGGAUGUCAAUGUUUCAUAAAAAAUAAUCGUGAUCAGCUUACAAAUUUCCAACCCAAAGCUGAUGAAGCAAUCUUUAUUGGGUACUCUUCAAAGUCAAAGGCAUAUCGAGCUCUCAACCGUCGAACUCGAGUUAUUGAAGAAAGUUUUGAUGUCACCUUUGAUGACAAAUUUGUUCGGAAUUCCGCUCCCUCACAUGUUACAACUCACAUUAUGGAGUCCGAUGCUCCAACCUCAAAAUGUCAGAAUGUUCAGAUAAUUCUUGAAGUUUAUUUUGAAACUCUGUUUGGACCUUUCGAAACAUCACUUGAUUCGGAAUCUCAAUCAAGUCAACCUUCCUCAUCCCUUCCCACCUCGCAACCUGUUUCCGGUCCUCUACCCUCUCUUUCUCCAUUUGAUUCUGAACCGUUUCAACCUUCUUAGGUUGAGGGGGAGAAUGGUCAACCCUCACUUGAAUCAAAUGUAGAUGGUUUCCAAGACGCAGCUGUUGACUUCGACGACUCCAAUCCUAUCAACAUAGAUGACAACGAAAUUUUUUUCUAAGUUCCUAUUUGAUGAUGAUGUCAACCUCUCUGGUUCAGAAGUUCAGGGGGAGCAUCACCUUUAAAUUCAAAUCAUUCAUGGGGAGCAACUUAAUCCUAUUGUUGAUAUUGGAUCAUCUGUUGCACAAGAACUUCCAAGGUUACAUGCCAGGACCAAGUAUGACCCUCCAAACCAAGUUAUUAGAAACCCUAAUGCUGGCGUUCAAACUCGCUCUACCACAAGUGUUCAAAAUGAAUGUCAUUUUUCGACAUUUAUCUCCAUGGUUGAACCCAAAUCCAUUAAGGAAGCAUUAGAGCAUGUUGACUGGAUUACAGUCAUGCAAGAAGAAUUAGCCGAAUUCGAUAAAAAUGAAGUAUGGUCUCUCCUACCUCCUCCUCGGAAUUAACCUAUUUUCGGUACUAGAUGGGUGUUUCUCAACAAUUUAGAUGAUGCAGGAGUUAUCAUUCAAAAUAAAGCAAGAUUGGUGGCUAAAGGAUUUACUCAGAUUGAAGGCUCGACUAUGAUGAGACCUUUGCUCCUAUUGCACGUCAUGAAGCCAUCAUAAUUUUUCUUGCUUAUGUUGCUCACAAAGGCUUCAAAGUUUACCAAAUGGAUGUCAAAAGUGCUUUUCUAAAUGGUAAACUUGACAAUGAAGUAUAUCUUCAACAGUCUCCUGGAUUCAUUAAUCUCUCAUUUCCAAACUACUGCUACAAACUCCAAAAGCCAGUUUAUGGCCUCAAGCAAGCUCCUCGCGUAUGGUACGAGACUCUCACUGACUUCCUCAAGCGCUCCGGUUUCCAAAGAGGUAUUCUAGAUCCUAUCCUGUUCUGAAGAUCAAAUAGAAAGCACCUCAUGCUGGUCCAAAUUUAUGUGGAUGACAUCAUUUUUGGGUCUACGGAUUCAUCAAUGGUUGAUGACUUUGCAAAACUAAUGAUCAAUCGAUUCCAAAUGAGCAUGAAUCGGGAGUUAAGCUUCUUUCUUGGUCUCCAAGUCAAACAGACUAACAGAGGAACUAUCAUUCACCAAGAGAAGUACAUCUUUGUUCUAUCUCACAACAAGUCGUCCGUACAUCAUGUUUGCAACAUGUUUGUGUGCCAGAUUUCAAGUGAACCCAAAGAUGUCUCAUCUCUUGGCUGUGAAACAAAUUUUUCGGUACCUCAAAGGUACAAAGAGUAUCGGAAUUUGGUACUCAGCAAAUGAGAGUUUCCUACUUCAAGCAUACUCAGAUUAAAACUAUAGUGGUCUUUAACUUGAUAGAAAAAGCACAUCAGGUGACUGUCAAUUUUUAGGUGGUCGAUUGGUUAGUUGGUCAUCCAAGAAACAGAACUGCAUUGCACUCUCUAUAGCCGAAGCAGAAUACAUUGUUGCUGCCAAUUGUACCUCUCAAGUUCUAUGGAUGAAGUCUCAACUUUUGGAUUAUGGUUAUCGUUUUCAAUGAAUUCUUAUCUACUGUGAUUCUUAAAGUGCCAUUGCAAUUUCACACAAUCCAAUUCAACACUCCAUGACAAAGCACAUUGAUAUUCGGUACCAUUUCAUAAAAGACCAUGUUUUAAAUGGCAAUAUUGAACUCAUUUUUGUUCUAUCUAACGAUGAAAUUGUUGAUGUCUUUACUAAGGCAUUAUACGAAACCAAAUUCAAUGGCUUUUUGAACAAGAUGGGUAUGAUGAUGCCUGAUCCUCAACAUCAGUUAGAAAAUUGGUUCCGAACUCAAAAUUCCUUUUAUCUCGGAACUAUUUAUCUCUCGGAAUAAAUAGGACCAUUUUAAUUGUUUUUAUCACUAACCACCCCUUGAUCUUUUGAGUUGUACAGUUCAACUUAUCACUUGAUACGUAUAGUCCACACUGUCACAAUGAUCAAAUUUUGCAUCUCAGAAUAUACUUCAUAAUAGCACCCCGGAAUUCCACUCCGGAAAGGUAUUGAAUUCUAUACCUCGGAAUUUUCAAAAUUUCACUCUGAAAAUUUUUCAAACCUUGCUUCGGAAUGUCUUGCAAAUCCUUUUCCGGAAAAUCGUUCAGUUUUCACUCCGAAACUCAAAUUACCCUUUCGGAAUUUUGCUCCAGAUUCUUCUCUCAAAAUUUACUCCAAAUUUUUCAAAUUUUUGCUCCAGAAUCACAAAAUAUUUUUGACUCCAGAAUUUCUAAACUUCACUCCGGACUGAUCUCAUUCCGGACCAUUUCCUUAUUUUUUUUAUCCGGAACUCAACCUUUUACCUUCCGGAUCUCAAACUAUCUGGAAUCGAUCAUUUGGAAACCCAAGUGUCAAUAAGGAGAAACGCUUUUCUUGUAACGGUAACAUUUGAGGAUCCUUAUCUUCCUUGAAAUUUGUAUCAUGAUCCCACGUCUCCAAAAGCAACCAUCAAAUCGCCGUUUGGGCUUUCCACUUCUAGCUACAAACCAACCCUACGUUUCCCUUCCUAUGUCAAGUCACCCCCAAAAAUGGGUUACUCAAUAAAUGCAAGCCGAUUUGACUUCAGAUCCUCAUCAUUAUUUUUUUUAACCCGACCCAUUUCACUUACCUAUAAAUACUACCAAAACCCUCAUUUACCCCUUUGUGUGCCCAAAUACACUCAAACAUCCUAAACUCUCUUUGUGGUCAUCAUGUUCUUCAAGCUCUCAACUCUCUAUAACAAUGGCUUCCCAAUCCUCUUCCCAGAAAACCACUCAAAUCACCUCUACUCCCAAGAAAUCGAUUGCAAAGAAGAAACCAUCCAAGGGAUCAUCAUCAUUAACAUCGCCUGAGCCCUUUCUCAUAGAUACGACUCAAUUAUUUUCACUAAACCCUAUGGAUUACGAUGAAUCCAUUAGAUCCAUGAUCAAGUUUAUGGCACACCACCCCAUCUCCGUCCCUCUCACCAAAGUCCCUAAACCACCUCUCCCACUUCAUUUACUUCACACAACCUUCACGAGAAUCAAAAUUGACGAAAAUGUACUGGAAACAAAAAUCACAAGCGACAGAAUAGUGCCCAUCCACAAUUCCACAUUCCUUAGGGAAAUCGUUGUAGAAGAAAACCCCAAAGUUUUCAUGGUUCAAGAACCAACUCCAGAUGAAUUUCAACUGUUUUUGAACCACAUUGGGUACAACUAGGACUACAUGGCAAAGAAUUUCAAGAUGUUGGCUAUCUCAGGCUUAUGGACUGUUUUAAUGCUGUCACACCCCCGAACCAGACGGCGGAAACGUUUGAGGGCUCUUGUGACUUAAAUUGAAUACCAUAACAAUGAAUAUACAUGAAUCAUAACAUAAUUCAUCACCAUGCAUUGAAAUAUUACAACUGAUAUUGUUUACAUCCAGUACAUUGUUUUAGAAUUACAAUUUCAUAACAUAAACUACAUGAUAGAUAAUCUAAGCAAAACACCAUGACAUUACUUGGUACUUAUUCUUCGGCUUACCUGUUACCUGAGAAUACAAGUUAUUUUUUAAAAACGUCAACAUAUGAAAUGUUGGUGAGUUCAUAAGUAAUGUUGUGGUAAAAUGAUUUGGUGUAGUUUGUAAAACCUACAAAAUCUGAUAUUUUCUGAAAAGAUCAUUGUUUAUAAAAAGUGUGAAGAUCCGUAAAUAUAUGCUUGUUGAUUUUCAAAACAUGUAUACUUGUUGAACUUUUGUAUAAAUCAUGCAAGUGAAAAUGUUGAACUUCCCAGGAAAACCCGAUGUUUUCCCAAUACAUAAAAUACAAUGAUUUCUCUAUUGUUAUACCGUUAUGACGAAUGAUUUUUGAUUUCUCGGGUAGCGUUGGAUUAACUAGGGUUUGUGAUUCGUUAUAAUCACGCAUAAAGAUGACUAGUUUAUAACUACAGGUUACGAACGAUCCUUAAAGGCGUCGCCCGUUACUACUCACUUAAUCCAACCACCAUGAUUACUCUUGAUUAACACCCUGAAUCUGUUUAUUGGAUUUCUCAUAAGCCCAACAACCGAGGAGAAAGGGGAGUAUAAAGUCCCAUUAUUUCCGUGAGUUAUUUAAGGCGAUCGGGAAUGCGAAAGAAACUUGGCCCAACUCGCAUUUGACUUCUCGACCUCACUAGCAGUACUAAUGGGCCACUAUGGCCCAAUAGCACAUUAGAGCUAUUGAAAGUCCUUUUACAUGGAAUUGGGUCAUAGAAGGCCCAAUAACACGUAAGCAUAUUCCCUUUAGGCCCAAAGAUCAUGUUAAUGGGCUAGCAAGGCCCAACAAGCAUGAUUUGAAACUUCCAAGCCCAAAGUUUGUAAGUUAGCUCAUCAUAGUUAUCGUGUGUUUAUUUAAAUACUUUGGUUUAACGAUUUUGUUUUGUUAUUGAUUCGAGACCGAAUCAAUUCGUUUUGUAACGAUGUUUGUUGUUGAAAGUGUAUUUGUUUUCCGUUUCGUUGGUAGUCGUGGAUCUUGUAUUUUGUAUUAAUGAAUAAAUUUGUUUGAAAGUGGAAUUUGACCGUUUUCACUACCCUUCCUUUAUAAAAGUAACACUUUUGGUCCUUUUAUAUAAAAGAAUUUUAUUUUUAGUCCUUAAAACCCUUUCUUUGACACUUUUGUAUUAUUUAUUUGACGAAAACACCAUUUUAACCCAAAAUUUACUUUGUUGACAACUUCAGCCCCUCCAGAAUAGUGAUUCUCGGUUAGGAACUCAUUUUCACAACUUUUACAGUUUUGACCCAAAAUCUAAAAANUUUCAAAACUUUUAUAGUUUUGACCCAAAAUCUAAAUAGUUUACAUUUUUUGUCCUUUUUUUAUAGUGAAAAGUAUUUUUGACCCUUAUAAACAUUUUGUUAUGCUAAUUACCCCCUGUUUAACAGAAAGUUACAUUUCCAGCCCCUCAAACUUAUCCUUUUUGCAUUUUGAGGCUUAUUGUGCCGAGAAGCCCAUAAUUAGCCCAAUAGGCUAAAAAUUUACAUUUUAAGUCCCUUGAAAUUUCUAAUGCUCAGAAAAAUAUUUAUAGAAACUGUUUUGACCCUUUUAACCUUCAAGAAACCGUGACUUGUUGAUUUUUACCCCAAGUAUGUAUUUUUGACAAUUUAAUCCCAAAAAUGGGUUUUAUGUUAGAAUUUGUUCAUCAUGACCUUAUAAGUUAUUAUUCUUGACUUGUUUAGUGUAAGAUAGCUUAAGUUAUCUUUGNAUAGCUUAAGUUAUGUUUGUUUCCUUUCUCAUGUCUUAGAUCUCGGGUUUACACCCUUUUUAGUAACAUAUUCAUCACAAUACACAUGAAACUACACACAUACAUGCAUCAAAUCACACAUAGCAUACAUAUACACAUAGAUCUACACAUUUUUCUUGUAUUCUCCCCCAUAAAACUCAUAAAAACCGAAAAGAAAGGGGUAUGAAGCUCACCUUGAGUGUGGUUUCGGUUUUGAAGAAGAUUGGGAGAAGUUUGGUGCUAUUUUCGGCCCUAGCAAGUUCCUUGGAUGGUUCUCGAACUUAGUGGGUUCUAAGAUGCAAGAUCAUGAAUUUGAAUGGAUUAAGAGGUGAUUUUUGAUGAAAAGAAGUGAGUUAGAUCAUAGAUUUAAGCAUGAUCUUACCUUAGAUGAUGAAUUUUUGGGGCAAUCUCCUUGAAAAGCUUCCUAAUCUCGAAAACUUGGUGAAGAAAAGAAAGAGUUUCUUUGAGAGAAUUUUGAGUGAAGUGUGUAUGUGUGUGUUUGUGUUGUUUUGGCCGAGAGAAGAAGAGAGAGAGGAAGAGAGAUUAAAUGAAGUGAUGGUUGCAUGGAAUUAUGGGUUACAUGCAUGGAAAUCCAAGAGAAAAUAAUGAGGUGGCAUAGCAAAAGUCAACUUCCAUUUCUUUUCUCUUUCUUUUUUUUUCUUUUUUUUAUAUAUAAAUAUAGAUGGGCCGAGAGAGAGGAAGAAAAAAAGAAUUGUUGAGCCUUUGGUGCUUAAAUCAAAAUCAUGGGCCCAUGUUGAUUGUUUUUCGGCCCAUUGGACUCCUAGGGUGCCUCACGGCCCAAUUUGUCAAAGAGAAUAAAUUUUAUGGCCCAUUUAGGUUAGUUGGAUUUGUUAUGGCCCAAUAAGGCCCAUUAAAGUAUUUUAUUUUAUUUAAGGCCUAAUAUGGCCUAAAAUGUUAGAAUAAAUGAAAGUGGGUCCAAUUAGAGCCCAUUUAAGAGUUCUAAGCCCAAAAUAGUCAAAUUGGAAGCUUAUUGGCCCAUUAGGCCCAAUAAGGAAAUCCUAGUCCAAAAUGGACUUAAACAAGGAUUUCUAGGGUUUCCAGUUAUUUGUUAACUAUUUGCAGUGCUUGUAUCAAGUGUUUGAUUGAAAUUUUGUUGUUAUUGAAUAAGCAUCCUACAUGCUUUCACAUUGUUGGUUCACAUUUGUUAUCAUUGUUAAAUGCUUACAAGGAAUCGAAUUUCCUAGUUGUGACAAAUGCACUUCAUUAUUCGUGGGUUUUCCGGUAAGCACGGUGUAAUAGAUAUCCUCAGCAAAGAUUGGUUGUACGUUGUCUACAGUAUCUUCUCCGGUCGCACCAAUGCUAUAGAUCUUCCAGAAGUGCUAUGGCAGGACUUUCAACAGUUUUCCAUCAAUAGGAAAAUUAAUGAGAUUUCAAGCCUUAGGUUCUGGGCUUUGACAAUUCAGGAACUCUACAGGGAAUAUUCCGAACCUAUUCUCGUUGCCAUGAUUCCUCCGGAGGUAUAUGUUACUUUUAAAGCUGUUAAAUCUUAUAGAAUAUCAGACCAAUUUUCAUUUGGUCCUUUCCGAAGGUUGCCUCAACAUAUGUUGGACCUUAUCCCUUCCGGAUCAAUCCAUUUGCAAAAACAUUUGGAGACUUCGACUGUGUACAUCCCAACACAGUCUUCCCAAGUCCCCUUUGAGCCCACUUCGGAAGUGGCCAAGCCAACAUCAUUCGGACGUAAGAAAACCAAAAAAAUCUGCCAAAUGUAAGACUUCUCCCACCAAGUCAAAGCCAAAAAAGAGAUCCAAAGUCAGCUCUUCCUCUCAACAGGAAGGAGCUCAAGACAUUCCGACUAACUUUGGCCGUCCUAACACCCCACCUGUCCACUCAUCUGAGGUACCCCUCGAUGUUUCAAUACCACAAGCACACACACACGGGGAGUCUACUGAUAAACCACCCUCUCCUUCCCAACAAGGUGAUGUAGGUUUUGACAAAAGUUCCUUGCCCCCCGGAAGGAGUUGUCCCUUCAACUUCGGAUGCCACAAUUGGUCUGAUACCCGGAAGGAGUACAGGACGAUCGAGUACUAAUGAUCCAAUGUGGGAAGAUUAUGUUAACAGGGUUGUGUCAAGAUGUCCGGAUCUUACACGAUCUCAAGUGGAAGCUACUUUCAUUUCCAUGAAGAAUCGAUCAAUUCAAAGCAAUCAACCAUUCAUUGCUCCUACUGAUGAUGAUGCUGAUCAAGAGCUUGCCUCACAAGAAACUCCAGUGAAUCGUCUUGUCAAUCCCUUCCAAACUGAUGAGGAAGAACUUUUAGAAGAAGUCAUGCUGAAUGAUGAUGGUACCAUAAUUCCGGAUACUCACUUUAUGUCACAUGUUCGAUUCUAGUCUAAGUUGUCUACAUCCAAGUCUGCCUUUGACUUUGGAUCAUCCUCAUCCACUCCGGAUGAUGAAUCGAACUCCAACAUUAAGGUUCAAGAAGAUGAUGCAACCACCAACAAACACGGUCCUUCUGUCACUCCAAUCAACCCGGAAUCUCCGAAACACAAUCCUCAACCUUCCAGCUCAGACAACAGAUCCUCAGCGGGAAAUCAUAUUGAUCCAUUAGCUCUUUUAGAUAUUCAAUCCAACGUUUCAGACACAAUGAAGAAGGUCACCACUCUCGAGACUAAUGUGGCGGAGCUCAACUCUAAGAUUGAUACAAAGGUGUCCGGACUAGACUCCAAUCUUGAUGCCAUUCUCCAGCCCCUAUCAAAUCAGUCCAGACCUUCCAUAGCCGAACGAGAAGCACAAUUAGAUCAACUGAUCUCACUCCGGCUCAAACAUUCGAUCGAAUAGGUUAACGCAAAGUAUGACGCCUCUGUUGACCACUACCAUGUUACAAUCACUACAAUGCUCAAAGUUCAUGAUGACUUGGUUGCUGCUACCAAUGAUCUCAUCAAGCAGACCCGUGUUUGUCAUGAGAAACAAAAUCAGAGGCUGGAGAUGGAAAUCAAAAAGAAGGAUGAGAUGAACUUAAUUAUUCAACAAGUUCUCAUCAAAUUGCUUCGAUCUACUUGGAACAUUGUUGAUGUUCCGAAUCAUAAGUUUGAUGAGAUUCUAGCCAUCCUUGGACACUUGUUCGAUCAUCUUGCAUCUCAAGUGCCAACUUCCGAAGCUUAUGAUGCUCUCACCCGCCAACUCAGCACCGAUCUUCAAAAGGUGUUUAACAGAUUCACUAAUUUGAAAGUUUCACUAUCACUUGCACCAGUUUCUCAUGCCACCAAUGCAAGAGGGGGAGAAGGCCGGCCCUAGCCAAGUCUGUAAACCUGCCUCGGAGUUCACACUCUCGGAUGAAAGUGAUGAUGAUGAGCAGAAAAAUCUUUCUGAAUCCUCUCCCAAAGUUUCAGGAGCAGAAGAUAGUGAAGAAGAGGAGUAUGUUUCUAUUGGAGUACUUGGCCUCAAAUCCCCAAACAAGAUUUUUCUGAAGGUGUUGACUAAAGAAGAAAAGAAGAUCUAGUCAGCAGUUUCUUAGCCAUCCUCUCUGCCUGAUGCUCUUCUUAGGGCAAUUCAAAUGGAUAAGGCAAAAACACUUCUCACCACUCAAGCCUUCCGAGCCACUCCUUCAAUGUUGCCUCUAAUUCCGACUCCAAGAAUUGAUCCAAUCGACCAUGGUUCCCACUCUGGAUCCCUAAUGACAUUCUGGAGGAACCUCUUCCAACGUCCAUUCUAGAAUUUGUGAUAGAUGAAAACAUGGCGCAUGUCAUCUCCGCCAUCAAAAAUGACAAAGGCAAAAAGCCCAAUACAACUGAACAUCAAGCCUUCCACUCCGGACCUCCAACAAAGCAAAAAUUUGGAUGGUCUCAGGAGGAUAUCAAGAAAGAUUUAGAGGACAGCAUUUGGACCCAAGCUCUCAAGGAUAAGCCUGAUCUGAUGCGUGGAAUAUCCCCUCUAUACCGUGAAGGCAUCCUUUGUGAUCAUCAAAUCAUUCCUUUCAUGUAUUAUGAUGUUCCGACGGAUGAUUUUGAAUAGUUCGAUCUUCCUCUCUCUUCCUACAGCAAGUUUUACAUCAAGUUUUCUCCUCUUCACCCUAACGACAAUCCGGAGAUGAUAAUCUGGACUGAGCGAGAAAGGCUUAAAACAUUCUACUCCAAGAAUGCACAACCUCUAAAGGAAGCAUGGACAAGGAAGAGAAAUAUCAAGAUUCAUGGUUUUGGAAGAAAGAUCCUGGUGAAAUUUGAGCUUAACUGCCCAUUGUUCCAAUAUCACAUCAUCCGAAACAAACCAACCUACCGCACCAUCACUAAUGCUGACUUCCCAUCGAUGAAUCCGAAUGACAUUCUUACAUUAUCUGCUCACUUUCAACGAAUCCAAAAUGAUCAUAUCGGUAUGGUAGCUUAGCAUGCUGCUCUAAGUUUCCUAUAAGACUAUGUCGCGGAAUUUUGCAGACGCAACUACAAGUUGGCUCACUUAUAUAGAACUGAAGACUUUGUUGCCAAAAUCGACUUUGUGCUUCCUGAAGUUGAACUGCUUGCGGAUGGUCCAAUUGAUGAACCGGUCUAGGUUUUUUCUACACAACAAAGAAGAAAAACAAGAAGGAAUUUAUAAGAUUCCUUGACAAACACCUGGUUCUUACCAACGCUCUUCAAAAGUUCAUCAGUCGUGCAUCCAAGUUUGAAGCUCUGGAACAUGUCAAGGCAAUGUUUGUAGGUCAGUUGACCUGGUACAUCGAAGUGCGAGAAUGGUUGUUCAGAGCCUACACAUUCAUCAAGGAAGAAGCUAUCUAAGCUGACUUGAUUGCUAAGUUCACUUAGGGGGAGAUUGAUGGAACCUGAAAGUGAACAUCUAGCAAUCCUAAGUCCCAAUGUCAUUCCGAAGUCAAAUGGUGUUCUGAAGUGAAGAUUGUUCCGGAAUUUUUUUAUGUCCAGACUUGAAGAUAUGUUAGUGGUGUUCCGACUGGAAAUGAAGGCAUUCCGGAAUGGAUUUUAUGUCUGGAAUGUUUGAUGAUCCGGAAUCUAUGUUUUGUCUCUUUACAUUAAUUGUAUUUGUCUUUCGUUUAAUUUAACUUGUCAUAGGACUUAGCUUUACUUGUCAAAUACAGAUAUUCAGAGUGUCAGAUGUAACUCUUUUAUCCAGUCCUUUGAUUGUAAUUGGUUAGUACCAUGUUUCAUGUACUCCUAUUUAUAGGAGAUUUCAAUGUUAAAUCAACGACAUAUCAAUUUUCACUUCAGAACACCAUCUGACUUCGGAAUGACAUUGGGACUUAGGAUUGCUAGAGGUUCACUUUCAGGAUCCAACAAGAGCAUCCCAUUUUCCUCACACCUUAGACAUUCUCUCUUUAUCUCUCUAACUUCUCUCUGAACCUCUCCCAAAGCCAUAGUAACUUCUAAUUUCUAGAGGAAAGCCCCGGAGCACUAGAAGGCUCCGAGAAGAAGAGAUUUUGGCUCAGAAGUUCUGCCCCCGCAGAGCCUGAUUCCUCGCUAAACCCCAUGUAAGUUGAGUUAUGCUUACCAUACUUUACGUAUAACUUAUUUUUAAGUUCAUUAUCAUUAUUAUGAACCUAUAAAAAAUAUUUACAGUGAUUCCAAGUCGUUAUACUGAUUGAUCUACUUACGGGGAUGACGUCUAGGCUGUGAUUUAGUGAGGUGUUUAAAGUGGGAUUUCCAAACAGUAUAUUUCGCAUACCAAACGAACCCUACCUCCAAUAUGAUCCUACCUGGUUGUUCCUUACUUGAUAGAUCAUGAAAGUAGACUUUGAUUUAAUGAUGAAUCUAGACUAAUAAUUAGUUGCAAUAAAUAUAGACUAAGGCUUAGCGAUAAUAAUGCUAGAUUACGUUAAAGGAAAAGAUGAUUGCUAGAAGCGAAGCGCUGCUCGAAUUUCGAGUCAUCACCUUAACAAGUGAGUACAUAGUUACUUUCAUCUUACACAUAGAAAUGACGUAUUUAAUAUAAAUUACGUGCUAUGUGUGCAUAUUAUUUGUGUUCAUGAUAUUUAUUAUGAAUGAACAAAAUAUACAUGUUUUAUUCGAUUUAAACUAUAUACCUAUUUUAUAAUUAUAAUUAUAAUGGGUAAAAAUGGGUAGAUGAAAGAUGAGAUGAAUAAUGAGAGAUGAAAGAUGAUAUAUAUGUGGAAAGAUGAAGAAUGAUGAUGAGAGGUGAGAGAUGAUGAGAAGCCUUGACCCAAGCGUUGGCCUAGUCAUCUAGCAGAGUAUAUAUGACAACCACAGACUAUUCUAGACAGUCCGACAGAACACUAACAUGCUCGUAGCCUGUAGGUAUUACGAAUGAUGUGUUCACCAGAUGUACUCUAAAAACCCUGGCAGCUAUGAACUUAGUGCCUCAUAAAUGAACAUUGGCAACUAUGGAGUUAGUGCCUUAUAAAUGAACAUUGGUAGCUAUGGAUUUAGUACCCUACAGAUGAACAUUGGUAGCUAUGGAUUUAGUACCAUAUAUUGGCAGCAAUGGACUUAGUGUCUAAUAGAUAACAUCAGUAGCUAUGGACUUAGUGCAUGUUACAUAAAUCAUGGCAGUGAUGGACUUUAUGCCUAUUCCUUAGGAAAAUCCUUAGGAAUAAAUGAGUGAAUGAUAUGAUUCUUAGGGUAGAUCCUUAAGAAAUAAAGAAGAUAAUGGGGAUAGGUAAUUAGGUUAUUUGUUUGAUGAUAAAACAUAAUAACUUAAUUAUUUUGGGUUGAAAACCCUAUAUACUCACCAGGUUUCCCAACCUGACCCACUCAGUUGACUUGUAUCACAGGUAUCGAUACGAAGCUACAUUUCACUGAGAGAUUAAAGGAGAUGUAAAUCACUAGUGUAAAUGAAUGUAAGGUCUGUCUAUGCUUAUGUUUCUAUAUUGACGAGGACAUCCCAAAGUUUUAAUAUAAACAAAUACAAAAUACAUUUCUUCAUAAAUGCUUUGAUAAUAUACUUAUCCUAUUUUCUGGGAACAAAUUUUGCAACAUUAUUCUUUAAAAUGAAUACUUUGAUUUUUAAAUAAGCAUAAAUAACAUUUUUAGAAUGAUCUUGAAUUUGGGGAUGUCACAGGUGGCCCCUGUGCUAAAGAGUAGGGCUUUUCAGCUGACGGCCGAUGUGGCGUGUCUGACUCCUAAUGUGGUUACGGGUAUGUUUUCCAUUUAUUACUCACUUUCGUUAUUGUUUAUGCUUAUGUUUCAUGUUGUGAUGUUUCGGUAUGUUCUUAGUGAACGAACUGCUUGCUAUGGUUCUUUUCGAUUCGGGUGUUACUCAAUCACUUGUGUCUUUUGUACUCAACAAUAAGUUUGAUGAUGCUCCGGGUGAGCUAGAGUGCCCUUUAGAGGUUAAGAUUGUCGACGAUCACCCAAUGAGAGUAUCGAGGGUUAAUCAGUUUGUACUCUUGAGUUGUUCCAGGUGAGGUACCUAAUCGAUUUGGUUCCUAUUCAUUUGCAUUAGAGCAAAGUCAUCAUUGGGAUGGGUUGGCUGAGACCUAAUAGGGAAAUGAAUGAAUGUGAGCACCAGUUAGUUCCGGUUCAAACCCCAAGUAGGAGAGAACUAAUUAUUCAACUCGAGGGUGCCCAGCAUGGACCAGCUUGCUGUUCAGAUGCAAGAGGUUGAAGGUAUCUUCAAUGGGGUUGUUACUGUUUCAUGGAUUAUGUGUUGGAUACUAGAUAUGAGGUAAAAAAGGUGGUUGAUGAAGUGCCAGUUGUCUGGAGUAUCCUAAUGUAUUUUUUUAAGGAUUUUCCUAGAUUGCCUCCGGUAAGGCAAGCUGAGUUUCAGAUUGAUUUGGUACCAGGUGCGACUCCAAUAGCCAAGGCACACAAUCGGUUAUCCCCACCUGAUCCUAGUAUUACCAAAGGAUUAUUUUAGCUUUCAUUAUCAUCCAUUCUAAUGCUAUCUACUUAUCUGGUGAAUACUAUCACAUGGUGCUAAAAUUAGAUAGUUUUUCGACCAUCUGAUUCCUCCGUAUUACGGUUAGACUAAUACGAGAGAUGCCCAAUAGAGAUAAGCAACACUUUCUGAAACUAUUUUAUUCUGGAAUCAUAUAACCUAUGUAUUCAUCCUAUAAUUCAUAAUGUGCAUUUCUUUGAUUUAUAUUUUAACGUGUCUUUAUCUAACGUUUAUAAAAUUAUAUCGUUAUCUAGUUUGCUCGUAAGUUAUAAGGAAGGACUUACCAAUUCUUAAGGAAGAUUUUUAGCCGCUUCGCUGGUCCCAAUGAUAAAUGCUCUUCCUAGACCAUUACCCCAUUGAUUUACCAACCUUGGGCAUUCCCUUUUGAAGUGUCCUACUUCUCCAUAUUCAUAAUAGUUGUGGUUCUUGCCAAUACCAAGUCAUUGGGUAGUGGUAAGUGGCAGACUCCUAUAAUUCUUAGCCAUGUGGCCCUUCUUGACGCAUUUAUUAUAUAUUAACUCUCUACAUGUACCCAAAUGAUAGUAGUUGCACUUAUUCGAUAACAGAAUAUCUCUUACAUACUACCUUAAAGGAGUGGGUGGCGGAAUCUUAGCUACAAAGACUUUCCCUAAGUCUUGUUUCUUCCAUGCUACUUGCUCUGAAUCCUCAUCAGGCUUUCUUUUUCUACUUUCUAAUCCCGAGGGAUCAGUCUUUAAAAAUAUGGUGCCCUGAUGGAUUACCUGAUUGGUCAGGGUAAAAGCCAGACCCUUGGCACUAUCAUAAGUAGUUAUCCUGGAAGUCGUAACCAAUCCUUGAUAGCCUUUACUAAACCCCAUAUGUUACCUUUCUUACUUUCUUGUAUUAUGGGGUGAAAAAACUGGGAAAGAAGAUGGCGAAAUCAUUAAAGCAACUGGUAUAAGCUGCAAUGUAUGUAUCUUGCAUGGUAAGAUUCCAGAGCUCCUAUUCUAGGUUUUGCAUCUAUUCUCUGGGACAAUGCUCUUUAGUUAGUAGUUAUUUUAACUCGUCCUGAGAGAUGACAUUAGUUGUACUAACUCUCAUGGGUUUCAUUUGGCCAUUCCACCAUGAUAAUGUUAUGUCCUUGAAGGUACAUGCAGCAAACCUGACCUUAUAAUUUUCAACACAGAAGUUGAUCUCAAAUACUGACUCUAUCUUCUUGAUCCAUCAAGUCAGUCCUACUGCUACUUCAUUUCAAUAAAAGGGUUUGGAUUUACAGUUCAUGUACUCCUUAUAAGUACACGCCCUUGGGUGGCUUCCAUUACCACCCUAUGUACUAUCUCCUCCGGUUCCUCUACCUUGUCCGGAUUCGACAUUCCUAUGAUCUAGGGCUUCAAAGAUCCAUUUGAUGAUCAACUCCUCAAUGGCUGCUACAACAAGGUUUGGUUGUGCCAUGGGUUUCUUCUUAUGACCUUUAUAUGAGGUAUGUUUGGAUCCUAAUACAUUUAUUGAAAGAGAGUGUAUUAGCCGAUGAUGCCUUUUACGGAUGCGAGUGGUAAUGGCUAAGCACACGAGUUAGUGUAAAAACAGAUAUCACAAAAAUUUCUACGUUAGGAGGGGAAAGAUUUGAUGUACUAAAAGGCUAUCUCUACGGGGAUAGCGACAAUACGUAUUUUUUGCAUAACUAAACUUCUUAUUAUCUUUAGAUUUAUGUCAUAACUCGAAAGCCUACCAUACUUGGUUAGUGAGCUAUUUGUUUAGUGGAUCGAGUUCUUAUCUUUAUCGCACAUGAAUUUUCCUUUGCAGUGAUGAUUUUUUCUCUGCAACUUGUGCCUGGAGAAUCAAUCCUUUUAUCCUGUCAUAAGUCCUCAUAUAACUAUUGGGUCAUAUUAGACAGGCUCGUGGUGCUUAUUUUGAUGAUUCCCAACUCAUCAUUGACUCGCGAUAUAUGUGGCUACGAAUGGCGGAACUAAAUGACGUUUCGAGGGAAAAAUAUAGGUAGCGAAUCCUAUGUUGAUUUCUAGCCUCUUUAUUCUCGUACUGUGAGAAAUCAAUUUCUUACUUAGGCUGGUUUGUCUCUUCCUCAGUAGGAUCGUUCACCUCAAAGGACUCUGAAGGGUCCUUGGAGGGCUCUUAUGAUGAUUCAGAUGGCUCUUUACUUAUUUCUAAGGAAUUCUCCUUCCUGUCGGGCUCAUUAUCGGGGCUAGGGAAAAGUAUGGGUAUCCUUGGUCUUAAGAGUGGAUGGCAUAACUUGAUCUUUCUCUGUAAAUGGUCCCAUUACCCUGUUUCCAAGAUCUUCCAUUCUUGCAUGACGACAGUGCUAUCUUCCCUAGAUAGUAUUGGUCUAUAUAAUUGGGUUUCUAAGCUCUAUAGAUUUCUCAAGAGUUUAGUCUAUCAACUACCAUAUUCAUGAUUAGUUAUAUGUCGGUCUAACCAAAAUUAAGCAUGAGUGUACACGCUAUACCUAGUUAUGGCUCGGCUCACAUUUCAUGUUAAUCUGAGAUAUCAUAUUUGAUCUAAACUUUUGUGUUUGGGUUCCUAUAUAUUUGGUUGUAUACAUUUAGAUGUUUUCUCAUCGAGGGACUAAGUUUAUAAAACUCUUUAUAUGAAGUUUUGUUUGUGGGAUUUAUUAAUUUUUCUUUUGUAAUUCAAGACUAACGAGUGAGGAUCAACCAGCUAGGAAAAGUCGGAGGGCAACACCAUUUUGGCGUAUAGCUAUUCUGAAAUCCAGCAACCCAAAGCUAAAAUUUCAAGCCUAGGCACCUCUCCCAUAACUAGUCUAUCAGUGGGGUAAUUAAUAAUAAUACUUUUUAUUUUUAGGUUUAAGGACAAACCUACUCGGAGUAUAAACCCUUAGGCUAUAGUUGUAUUUCCUAAGGAAGUAAUUGUUCGCUAUAGCCAAAGCUUUGAUACCAAUCUGUCACACCCUCAGCCGGCAGUGAAAACGUCGAGCUAUGGAAUGUAGAGAUAUUGGAUCUUAGUCAUUGAAGAUACAUUGAAUAGUACAAAACAAUAUAAAACAUAAAUGUCACUUUUAUUGAUAGAUAAAACAUUACAAUGGAUUAUUAGAAUUCCUAAUACAAAGGCUCCUUAACAGGUAGGCAUACAAAUAAAUGAUAGACGUCAUCCAAUUGCUUCCUCGGUCAACUGCUGCUUUCAGUGACAUAAAUGUCACUUUUUUGAAAACAUCAACAUAAUGUUGGUGACCUCACAGGUUUGAGUGUUAUACCUUUGUAAAUACUUUUUAUGUGUGACUUUAUUAAGUUAUAAAAGUAUUUUGAUUUAUAUUGUUAAGGUAUUUUCUAAUAAUAUUUUACUAUUUUUAGAUACUAAACUUUUAACGUUUCACUUUUUAUCACAUACUACAAUUCUCUUUAGGUUUUCUCCUAUGAAAUGGAGUAUAAUAUUAUCUUAUAUGUAGUAUUAUUAUCUUAUAGGCACAUACCGUCUAUACUUUAUAUUUCAGAAGUAUGCCCCUUGGAUAUUUCUAUUAUCAUCUUUUAUCCUAGAAGUAUGCUUGUAUAAAGCAAUACUUCUAUUGAGAGUGAUUAUAUCUUUAUUCCAGAACUACGCCCUUGGAUACUUCUAUUAGAGUGAGUAUAUCUUUUAUUCUAAAAGUAUGCCCAUCUGAUACUUCUAUUAGAGUGAUUAUAUCUUUUAUUACAAAAUUAUGCCCCUUGGAUACUUCUAUUAGAGUGAUUAUAUCUUUUUUUAUCUUUCUUAUUGAGUGAUUUCCUAUAACUAUCAUAAUAUAAACCCCUUUAGUUUUAUAUUUUAAAAUUAUAUAUUUUAGAUCUCAUAAUUAUUUUGUGUGUGUGUUUGUGUAUAUAUAUAUAUAUAUUAUUUUCAGAUACAUAUAUAUACAUUAAUUAUAGUUAAUAUGGAAAGUGGAUAUUUAGGCAGAGUAACAACUAGGGACAGUGUCUUAUCCUAAAUUUGGCUACUGCUACGACGGUUGGGUAUAAUAUUGCCUUAGAGCUUCAACCAGAGUAACGACAACGUAUACUAUGUAUCACUAUUUAUACGGGCAGAGAGAUCACAACAUAUAGUAUUUAUGGAUAUUUAUACGGCAGAGUAUCAACAUCGUAUACUAAAUAUCACUAUAUAUACAAGCAUAGUGACGAAAUAUCCUAAAUUUGGCUACUGCUACGACGGUUGGGUAUAAUAUUGCCUUAGAGCUUCAACCAGAGUAACGACAACGUAUACUAUGUAUCACUAUUUAUACGGGCAGAGAGAUCACAACAUAUAGUAUUUAUGGAUAUUUAUACGGCAGAGUAUCAACAUCGUAUACUAAAUAUCACUAUAUAUACAAGCAUAGUGACGACGACGUAUAAUAUUUAUCAAUAUUCAUACGGGUACAGUAAUGGUGGCGUAUAUUAAAUAUCAGUAUAUAUACAGGCAGAGUAACGACCAUGUAUACUAAAUAUCACUAUUUAUACGGAUAAAGUGACGACCGUGUACAAUAAUCACUGAUAUUUAUAUAUGCAAAUUAACGGUGGCGUAUAAUAAUUAUCACUUGAAAUUGACUAUCAUAAUGACUAAGUGAAAGGUUAUCCUAUAAAAUUGGUCAGUAUAACGACUAGGCAUAAUAUCAUUUAUUAAAAGUAGGCAGAAGGCAGAGUUUCUACCGAUAUAUUAUCCUAACGUAUUUAUCGAAUAAACUACUAAUAUAUUACAAAUAAUUAUAUUUUGUAAAAUCGAUAAAGUAUUUUUAUAACAUGUAUCCCCCCCCCCCAACACACACACACACCUAUAUUUUAUAAAACGAUGGAAAAAGGGUUCAUGAAACUCACUCUAGAUGCGUGACACCGCUAAUCUAGGGUAGAGUCGGGACUCGGGACUUGAAGGUCGCCUCGGGAUCGACCAGAUUCGAGAUUAUAAUAAUAAUAUCCUGAAUAUAUAACUAAAAUAUAAAAAUAAAUUUUCUAAUGAUUUUUGGAUGGAAAUCGAGAGGGAAAGAAACAUAUUUGUUUUUGGAAGCAUAUGGGCAGGAAACGCAAGUUUAUAGGGCCAAAAAGGUGAUUUAUGCCUAGCGUACUAAAGUGGUACGCGUAGCAUACUCAAGAGUGUGUCUGGUGCUGACACAUGACAUAAAUCUGGUGGUCUGUGUAUCCCCUUCUAGAAGCAUGCAGGACGUGCAAUCUUCCUGAUCGGGGCACUUUUCACAAAACCUCAAACAUUCAUAAUUUCUUCAUACGAACUCCAUUUUUUGACGUUCUAUAUAUUGCCAAAAAAAGCUCUCGACAAGAUCUAGAACUUUCCUUUAGGUUGCAUUGGCUAAUUUCGACUUUUAUUUUUAGCCCUUAUUUUUAAAUGAUUUUGAUGAUUUUGUGUAGGGUGUGUGUAUAGGGAGGAGUCGAAUUAGUCAGAGUCUGUAAGGUGUCGAAAUCAACAUGAAUUUGGCACUCUAUCUAUUUUACAUGGCAUAAUUGUUUUAUUACUUUGAUGUUUAGUCCUUGUAACUUUUUAUGAGUUUGUUUGUGUCCAAUAAAUAGGAUAGGUACCUAGAGUAGAGUAAGUUUCUAUAGCGUCAUCCUACAACUUGGACUCUUGAACUCUUUUACUCUUACAAACUUAUAUUUGAGCCAACUAGAUAAUAUUUAGAUCUUGUGUUCUUUACUGCUUUCAUAAUAUCAUUUGUUUUCAUAAUCAAUCCUAACACACUUCAAUUGUAAUCAGAGUAUAAUUCUCAAAUGAUUGAAGUGUCUUGUUAUUUUUCAUUUUUUUACUCAUUGUUUCUGAUUCAAAAUCUUCUGCAAUUUGAAUCAGUAAACUUGUAUUGAUCGAUUGUACUAAAUUGAUUAUGCACUCUACGUGUUAGGUCAUUUGAUUUCUUAUCAAUCUUUGGUUGAUUUCGCUCUUAUAUUUAUGUUUGAGUCUAAAAUCCUCUUUCUUCUAAAUCCGUACAAAGAUUGACGAAUUUCAAUUUGAACAUAAUGACGAAUUUCUGUCACUUGCUUAGAUCGUCAACAAAGAUUCUGAUGUCGAUUCCGGAGUAUGGUGAGUAAUGGAUUAAUAGGAUGGAAGACUAUCUGAAUGGUAUCGAUGAAGAUUUGAUGCGAUCUAUGAGUAAUGCUCCUUUUCUUCCAGAGAGGCUUGUUACUUUAGGAACUACUGCUACGAAUGAAUAUAUGAUCAUGCAAGGAAACAAGAUGAAGGUGAAUGAUAAGAAAUAUUUGUGAAUUAUGUGGUGCUCGUCCACCAAUGGUUUACAACUAUGCUCCUGGAUGUUCUAUAGCCAAGCAGAUUAAGGAUACCUUGAAGGAGAAGUAUCAAUGUAAUGAGAAAACAAAGAAUAGUUCGGUAAAACAGUGCUUGCUAGAGUUGGGAAAAUUCAAGCAGAAGGACAAUGAAUCAAUCAGAUCGUAAUAUGAUUGAUUGACUGAACUGAUUUUCAACUGUUUUAGAUAUAGAGAGACUCGUUCGUCCCUGGAGUUCAAUCUCAUUUUUCUUAUAGGCUUGCGAAAGGAGUGGAGGAAUGUCAGCUUGAUGAUGAAGUCUCAAGAAUGUUUUGAUGGUUGACUCUCUGAAAAAAAUUUAUAAUGUAUUAAAUGACAUGAAAGCAGCAUCAAUGACAUUUUUAAAGAAAGUGAAUUUAGUCUUUGAGGACCAAUAGCUUUGGUAUUGAAAGUUGUUGUCAAGGAAUCAGAUUCUGGAGAAGAAGAGAAGGAUAGUGAAGAAGGAUUCCUAUUCAACUCUAACGAUAAAGCAGUCACAUACUACUCGAACAACAAAGUGAAUAAAUUCUUCAAGAAGCCUUUCAAUGGAAAGUUUAAGAACAAUUCUGAGAACAAGAGUGUGUCUUCAACUGGAAAAAGUGUGAAAGAUGAGUCAAAUGUGGAGAAGAAGUAUGUUAAGAGUUCGUAUGAGAAGAAGAAGGAGUUGAAACGUAAAGGAGACUCAUGUUACGACUGUAACUACUGCAAUGGUUUGAAUCAUUUGGUGAAGGAAUGAAUGAUAUGGAAGAAAGAAGAGAAGAAGGAGAGAGUUAAGGAUGAGGCAUAAUAUGUUGAAAAGAUUGAGGAGAUUAGAGCUCACACUAAGGGUGUUUCUUUGGUAGCUAGAGGAGAUGACAAGGAAGAAUCAACUUAUCAUAUCUGGUCUUCUGGAUCGGAUGAUGAUGGGAUGCGAAAUCCAAAUCAUGGGGCAAUGUAUGAAAUAUUGGAGGAAGAUGAAGAGGAAAAUGUUGUUUCAGAUGAGACGGGUGAAGAGGAAGAGAUUACUAGGAGGUAUUUCGUGUCAACGGAUUCGACUAAAUUACGGAUGACUGUUAUGGUACAUGAUCUUCUUAACUCGUUUAAAAUUCCUUCAUCUUCUUAUAUUGAUAUUUUGUCUGAGUUUGAUAAUACAUGUCUAGACUAACUAAUACAUGAUAGGUAGUGUGCCUAAUCAAAUAGCAGGAAAGUUCAGGUAAGUAGGGCAUCGAACUCAUAGAACGUAAAUAUCAGCUAAAAUACUACUAAAUGUUAACUAAUUCAAACAAUUAGUUAAAGAGAGGGGUUUUCUAGUUUUUCAAGUCUACAAACUUAAAACUAUUAUCUCUAAAAGCAAGUAAACUAUCAAAAGCAAUUCAAAUUAAGAAUUCAGACAAGAUAUUAAAGGGACUUCUGUUUAGAUUCGAUUCGCAUUACUCCUAUGGCUGAUUUCUUCGAUAAUUACAAUGGAUUAAAUUGAUUGUUGUUUACUGAUUCCAAAGUUGACUAAAAUUUAUGAUCAAAAGAAUAAUCCUUUAGCAAAACUAAUUCAUUCAUGCAUUGAUCAGGUGAACAAACAGAUUAGAUUAUUAUUAUUCAAUUCGAGUUAUGUUAGACUUGAACUAUGAUUGAUAUUAAUGGAUAAUAACAUCAAUUCAAUACAUGAAUAAUCAUCACAUAUUAGCUUCCACAUUAAUUUACCUAUUCUUCUUAUUUAACCCUAGGUUUAUGAUCAAAACACUAGUCUUAUAACUUUGAUGGUCAUAAAUUCAUAAGAUUCAAGUUUAGCAAAUAAAAAUGAUCAUCGAAUUCAGAAAACCUCAACAAUAAACAAAAUAAUUAGUUUUCGUUAAAAAGAGGAUCAUCUACUCUAAAUAGAAGUUAGGGUUUUUAGCCCACGAUUUCUAGAAACAAAAAAUUAAAAACGAAGUUCACAAUAAAAAUCAUAAUAAAGAAUAAAGUAAAUAAGUUUUAAGAAGUGUUAUUGCCUCAAAUCUCUUCUAAAUCUAAUCUUCAAUCAAAAUAUGAGCUUCCUUUGUGUUCCAACACUUCUAAGUUCUCCAAAAGUCAACUCAAACUCAGAGCACUUGCUAGGGUUGAGAAAAUAACCGUAACAUUUAUAAAUACCGAAUUUGAGCUUCCUAUGCCCUUUUAUUUACCCCUUUCGUCUCAAAAGUUAUUGUCAAAUGUCAAGUGACUCAACAAAAAUGAAAAAUAAUAUAUAGUAUAAUUUCCUAAAAAUAUAACUACACUUUUAUUUGUUGCAACAUUUUCUUUUUGUGNNNNNNNNNNNNNNNNNNNNNNNNNNNNNNNNNNNNNNNNNNNNNNNNNNNNNNNNNNNNNNNAUAUAUUUAUCUUUUCUCAAUACUUCAACUUCCCAUAAUCACAUGUAAGCAAAUAUAUAACUAAAAAUUAAACUUAGUUGCGAGUUUAAUAAAUUUAUAGUUCGUGACUUUCUAAAAGAUUCAUUGGAGUACUCGGAAGCCCUUCGGUCACUAAUAGAACCCAUGACUUUCGAUGAAACCCAUAUAGCGACAUUCUUUCCGUUUCGAUCCGCGUUAAUGUACUGCAGGUGGACAGAUAUACAAAAAUAACCUGCGAGGAAUAGUGGUCAAGUCCCAAAGGUCACAUAUUGGCUCUACUCCUAAACUAUUACUUUAUUUAUAUACUAACUAGACUUAACAAAAAAGAAAAGUGAACAGAUAAACUAGAAAAAUUUACUUGCUUUAUUUUGACAAAAAGGACCCCGGAAAUAAAUCAGUCACUGAUAGUUUUUUAUUAGGUCUAGGUUUUCCCAAAGCCAAAACAUUUUAUAUCUCUCAAAUUUGGCAAGGCCGUGUUUUUUUCUCAUGAUUUCACUAGGACAGGGAAGCCACAAAUAUACUAGAACAUAUGUUGGCUCAAAUAAACAUCGAGGAUCGCAUCGGAUCGUCCCACAAUACACUAACAACAUAAGUCUCAACAUAACAACAAUUUUAACUAGGUUCAAUUUUAGAUUAUUAUUUCAAAUCUUUCUAUUAAUUUUUUAAAAUCAUAGUCACUUUUCAUAAUAAAAAUUUUCAUAAUGCUUGUUAUUCCUAUGGUCAACCCCCUACCCCACACUUAUUUCAUUCAAUGCCGUCAAUGCAUGCUUUAACAAUAAAAGAGCAUAAAAUUAAAGAGAGAAAUUGGAACGGACUCCCCUUGGGAUAGAAGUGGAAAGGUUGAACUUGAAUCUUGUGUUGUUGACAUCUCGUGAGAUGGCUUGGAAAAUGGUACUUUGGACUGCUGCUGGAAUGGUCUUCAAUACUCCAAGAAAUACGGACUUCAAAUGGUGUGAAACAAGCAACCAAAAAUGGUGAACAUGAGUAGCAACACGACGUUGUAUUGUAAAAACACAUCAUGGUCUUAGAAAGUCAGGAAUUUAAUCACGAAAUUCCUCGACGCCAAGUAGUUGUUAGAUGUGACCAUGUCGUGGUUUCGUUCUUCUUAGAAAAAUAAAACUUAUGUCCAACUCGAUUCAUUGCCAAGAAAAAGUAAUACCAAGGUGGUAUACCAUUCUAUUUUGCUGGAAAAUGCUCUUAUUCAUUUAGUAUGACUAACCACUCGUCGUCAACACUCAAAAUCGUUUCCUUUCAAGUCGCUAGUUUCACCCCACACAUAAGCCAUUGUCGCGUUCUCUCGGAAAUCAUCAACUCCUCUCAUCAACUAACUACACUUCUGAGAAAUCAAGAACAAAAAAGUAAUAAAAAAGAAAACAACCACAAAAAACUAAAAUUACUUAAAUCCUACAUUACCAAACAUAAAAACAAAUAAAUAAAUUGUCUCAAAAACCACACAAACUUAAAAAUCAAGGAUAAUCACUCUUCGUUUCCUUCUCCUCCUCCUCUACUACCGCCAAAAAUGUUGGAUUAGGUGUCUAAGCCAAUAACUAUAAUUGGUAUGUACUUGACCCGAUAGUAGCAUGGUCCAUUUGGGUUGCAUUCAGCAAAGCAAUAUGUUAGGAAUGAUAUUUGAGUAAGAGGUUAUUUAUGAUUUAUUAAUAUAUUAUAAGUAUAAUAUAUUAAUUGAGGAAUCAUAUUAUCUAAUUAGUAUUGGUCAACAAUUAGUUUAGUGAUCAAAAGAGACUAAUUAAUAUGAUACAUAUGAGUUGGGCUAAAGAUCCAUGGUUUGAUUUGUGAUGGGCUUAUGGGUUAAUCCAUGAAGUAUUUAUCCAAAUCAAAUGGAUGGGUCAUGGGCUAAUGUGUAUGGAUUAGGAGAAUCCCAUUUCUAGUCUCCAUAACCUCUCCAUAUUCAUCCAAAUUGUUCUAGGUGUUUUGUGAUUCCAUUUGACACAUCACACUUGGGGUGCUAAGCUUUCUUGAGCCUAAGAUAUUCAAGCUACUACACAAGGUAAUAUUCUAACUAGUUUUUAUGAUUCUAAUAUCACCUGGCAUGCUAGUUUAGGCUUCAUGCUUUGGAAAAUGUUUAUUGCAUGUUUAAUUAGAGAAAAUGUAGAUCCAAAGCAUUAGGGUUGUAUGUGCACCAUAGGAAUGUUAGAAUACAUAAAGCCCAACAGUGGUAUCAGAGCCUAGGAUGUUUUCUAUUGUGUUGAUGCAUCUGUGUAAUUUUCAAAGCUAAAAAAACUGCAAAACUUGAUUCUGCCAGGCCUACUCAACGAGUUGAUAUAUGAACUCGACGAGUAGGUGCCUUAUGAUGAUGAACUUGUCGAGUUCCUCAGUGCACUCGAUGAGUUGGUCUGUCUGUGAGCAGAAUUUUCGAGUUUUUGGCCCGUUUUGGAUUAGGAACAUUACCACAAACUGUUUUGAUUCAUAAAAUUUGAUUUUAAUGACAUGGUAAUGUUAAUCCCCAUCCAAUAACAUGAUGGUUGUCAGAUUCUAAGAUAACUAAUUUAUUUUUAGUAAAUACUAGUUAUUUGUAAAUUUUGAAGUUAUCAUGUAACAUGAACAAAUUAGUUCAAGUUGGUAAACAAUCAUCAUAUCAUAAUUGGAUUAGUUAAUUUGAUCUAUGUGUGUUCUUGAUUAAGCUCCAUAACUUGUCCUUAAGUUAUGGAACAUGAAAUGUCUUUAUUGAUGAAAUCAUUAACUAAUGUAAGUUAUAAAAUUCUAAGAGUCUUGGAAGGUUUCAUAACUUGUAUAUAAGUUUCGAAUUGGAAAUGUCUCAUUCAUGGAACACAAAAGUUCAUAAGUCAUGAAUUUCAAUAGUCUUGACAAGUUACAAAACUUCUCCUCAAGUUUUGGAACUUGAAAAGUUACAUUAAUGAAACUUUAAUUCCAAACUCUAGAGUUUUAAAAGUUUAAAAUUCAACCCUUAUACUAUUAAAGCAUUAAAGUUUAAUACUAAUAUAUAUGUAUAAGACAAGUCAGUCUUAGCGUUAGUAGGUCUCAUUCUCGAAGCCAGUCUAUAAGGGAGUAUAUGGUUACUGCCUAUAAAAUGGUGGUUAAUGGGUGUCCACUCUCACUAACCGCUUCCUUAACUGGUGGAGGGUCGUUAGCCGAACGGGUAGGAUAGGACACUAAUUCUCAUUAAUAAAUAUAAUGAAAAUUAUUAAAGUAACUAAACUUUUAUAAUUCCCCGUCUUAGUUACUUUAGGAAAAAUGUGAAAAUGGUACUAUUCCAUGAAAUUGCACUUUGCACCUUGUUAAGUCGUUAGUGGAGCAUGCGUGGUUAACCGACACACUAAUUUGGGACUAACAAUGUGUAGCAAACGGUAGCUUAGUGUUAAUGAUUGAUCAAUAGAGCAUGUGUGGUUAACCGGCACAUUCAUUGGGUGAUUUGUAACAUCAAGAGUACCAAGCUAAUUUUCAUGGUUAUUCACACCUUGUUUGUGAUCCUCGAUAUCCCAGUCACAAACUUGAAGGGCAUAAUCAAGAUUUAAACAAGCCAUUGAAAAGUUCAAUGAAUAUCAAAAGAAUCUAGGAAUUUUAAUUCAUUUAAAACCUAAUCUUCAAUUUUGUUUUUCAUGGUGGAAAUUGGUAAAUCGUCACUUACCUACCUUCAAAUAUUUUGCAAUUGGAUUACAGCAUCCCUCUUCCAAAUUGUAAAAUAUUGUGUUGGGUCCUAGCCUUAAUAUCUCAUUUUGGGUGUUAUAUUAAGGAUCAUUAUCUAAUCUAAACUUUGUCUUUCUUUUUAUAUGUAUGCUUCAAACAAUUCUUCCAACCCAAUCCCUUCCGGCUCUUUCUCCCUCAUGAACUUAUGUGGUAGGGUCAUUUUCGAUGGAUCGAAUUUCAAUGAUUGGAUUCAAAACAUAAGAAUGGAAAUUCGUUAUGAGGACAAAGAAUAUGUCCUUUAUAAAGAGCUUGGGGAGAUUGAUGAAUCCACUGCUACUCCCGAAUAGAUUGUUGAGUACAAAACUCAUGAGAGGGAUGUGACCAAAGUGUCGUGUAUAAUGACCGCAACCAUAACUACUGAGCUCCAAAAGUCAUAUGAGGACUUUUGGCCUUAUGAAGUGCACCAGGACUUGAUGGAAAGGUACCAUCAAAGUACUCGACAGGAGAGGUAUAAGAUCAUUGCUUCCAUGAUCAUGACCAAAAUGAAGGAUAGAUUGUAGCAUCCGGAAUUCGGGGUAUCAUAUUUUAAUUAUUUAUUUUUGUCAAAAGAGGGACUCGACGAGUUGACGCCUAGACUCGUCGAGUAGGAUCGCGAUUUGUUGACUGGAUUUAAUGAAGGGACUCAACGAGUCGGGGAGUCGACUCGACGAGUCCGCACUGUGGACAAAAACCCCAAAUCCUCGGUCAUGUUCCCUAUUUAAGGGAUCUUAUGGCCCUCGUUUGCGGCCACCUUCACCCUUGAGAGCACCAGAGAAAUAGAGAGCGUGUAGAGAGAGAGAGAGAGGAAGCCAUUUUCAUCAUCUCUAGUGUGAUUUUGCAAGGAAGAAGGAAGGGGGGCAAGCUAGACGGCUUAAGGAGCUCAGAUCUGCUACCAUUUUAUCAGAAGAGGCUUCUAGAGAUAUGGAUCUAUGCUCAAUCUUGUGUUUAUGGUGAUCUACUUGAAUCUAGGGUUUUCUUACCCCUUCUUUAGCUUGGAGUCGAAGCUUAUGAGGUCCCCAAGGUGGAAUAACUCUUAGAUCUGGACCUUAAGAGGUCCAUAGAGUCCCAACCAUUUUUCUUUAUGCUGUUCCAUUAGAGGUAUGAACCUAGGGUGCCAUUUUGAAAGCUUUUCACCAAAAGAAGCAUUAUGGACGUUGCAUGAGUGACAAGAUUGGACCUUUACGUGAUUAUUGAGCAUUGGGAAGUCAGAUCUAUAGGUUAGAGAAACAGAUUUGACCUCAGAAGGCCAUUUGAGUGUGGCUAUGGAAGAAACUCACCGAGUCCAAAAGAGAACUCGACGAAUCGAGUCGCGGUUGCCCCGCGAUUCAUGACCAGUGGUAACCCGUCGAGUGGAAGGUCCACUCGACGAGUCGAGUGAGGCCUUAGAAGGCUUCAAAGGACAUGCUUGGACUCGCCGAUUCACCCAUGUGCACUCAACGAGUCUGGUCAAAGUUUGACCAUUGACUAGAGUUGACCAUGCGAUUUUGGUCAAGCUGAUUCAAGAGAGGUCAGAGAAGGGUAGAAUGGUCUUCUACCCAUUAUUAGAGAUGAGAACAUGAGUGGAUUUUGAUUAGAGAUGUUAUCCUAUUGAUAGGAGGAGGCUAGGUCGAGAUAUUCAAGCAUGAGAGUUUAUCUGACUUCAUACGAGGUGAGUCUUCUCACUAUACAUUACCUAGAGUGGUAGCUAUGUACAGACCGGAGGGUCUUAUGUUUUAUGUGUAUGUUUGAUAUUAUGUGCAUUGUGCUAUAUGUAUGUUAUGUGUUAUAUAGACCGGAUCAGAGGGUCCAAUGACUCAUGAGGCCAGAGGGUCCUCAAUCAGACCAGACCGGAGGGUCCAACGAGCAAUGAUCGGACGAGAGGGUCCAACGAGCUACGGGGUUGGAGGGUCCCACUGAGACACAUCGACCGGAGGGUCGUAUUGCGAUAUAGCCAUGAGUGGCGUAUGUGGUAUUUUAGGGAACUCACUAAGCUUUUAUGCUUACCGUUUGUGUGAUAUGUGUUUCAGGUACCAGCGAGGAUCGCGGGAAGGCGUCAUCAUGAUUUGUACACACUGGAGGAAGAGUUGUUUGAGAUUCUGGGAUUUGUUAUUAUGACAUUCUACAUUAUGAGAUUUUGAGAACUAUUAUAUGAGUUAUGGUUGUUUUUAAAAUGAAAAAUAGUUUUAAAAUUUUUACGUUGUUACAAGUUGGUAUCAGAGCCUUGGUUUGAGGGAUUCGGAUGCACCUUUGGGUGUAUCUGAACUCAAGCUGAGGAUUUGAGAAUGUUUUCAUAAAAAGUAACAAUUUUUAUAAAGAGUAAAAGACCUUGAGAAAAGCAUAAAGGAGCAGUGUGUAAGAUCUGCCAGCGCCCGAAUGGUGAUUUCCCAAAAUACCCCUUACAUUAUGUGUUAUGAGAUAUUAUAUUAUGUUGUGCAUGCUAGAGUAGGCUCGGUAUUCAUAUGUAGGACUAGAGUGGCCUGAUUUGUGAUGCCUUAGCCUAGGAGAGUACUGCUACUAUGAGAUGCUUCGAGGGUGAGUAGGUAGCAGUAAGGAGCUUAUGAGAAGUCUACCGAAGAGUAGCAUAUACAUAGCGCGAUGUAGAGUACUUGUGAUCUAGGAUCCUAGGAGGAGGACUUGGAAUGAAUGUUGAUGCGGUGUGGAAGGUAGUAUAGGGACCCGUACUACUAAAUACACCGGAUCAGUGCGCAGUCCAAGUAAGAAUCCUAAGGGUACUAGGGAGCAAGUAGGGUUGAGUUAUCGAGUGCGAGUGUACUCGAGAGAAUCUCUGAUAUUUUUAUGUUGUAUUUCAGAGACAUCAUGGUUGGGACACGCCACAGACCAGAGACCAGCGGCGUGAGUGACGAGGAGCUUCAUCAGAUGAUCCACAAUGAGGUGGUUGCGGCUAUCCACGUAGAGAUACCAGAGAUAUUUGGGUCUAUCAAGACCACCCUGAUUGAGACGUUUGACGAGAGAUACGCAACGGUUACUGAGGUUGCGGCUGCUGUAGCUACUGCAGUUGUGGCUGCUGCUAGACCUCAGGGGGGUGACUCGUUGCUGUUCUGGGAGUUCAGCACCACGAAGCCACCGGAGUUUGAUGGGACGCAGGAUCUGAUUGCUACGAUGAGAUGGAUUUCUGAUAUCGAGGGAUGCUUCUACACCUGUUCAUGUCCGGAGCAUCUGAGCGAGAGGUUCACCACCAUGUUCAGGGAUGAGUAUGUUCCCCUAGUAGAUUACUACGGUGGAGAUCUUGGCGGUAGCCUGGGAGAGGUUCACCACCAUGUUCAGGGAUGAGUAUGUUCCCCCGAUGGAGAGGGAACGGUUGGCUCAGGAGUUCUUUUCCCUCAAGCAGGGGACAGAGUCCGUGACGGUGAUCAAACGGAUGUUUCACGAGAGGGCGUUGUUUUGCCCUGAGCAUGUGUCAUCUGAGCAGACAUGCAUGAGCCGAUACUUAAGCAUACUGAGGAGGGACAUUCGUGAGUUUGUGGAAAACUCAUCAUACCGUACAUUUGCUGAGCUUCAGGCAAAUGCCCGGAAGAGGGAGAUUGAGCUGGAGACUCAGGUCAGGGAGGAGACCGAGUCUCAGAGGAGAGACAGACGACCAACGUAGGCUCAGCUGGCCGCCAAGCGGGAAAAGCCCGCUGAUUCGAGAUAUGUAGGUCCGAAGGCCACACCUGUGGGAAGUGUGACAAGAGUCACGAGGGAGUCUGCAGAGCUGGGGUGUGUUACAAGUGUGGGAAGGAGGGGCAUUUUGCGAGGGAUUUCCCCAAGGGAUUCUUGGUUUGCUUUCAUUGCAACCAGACCGGCCAUCGGAAGGCCGAGUCCCCAUAGCUGCUGCAGGGAUUAGCACAGGGAUCUGCACCUGCUGCCCGAGCUACUGAAAUCUGACCAGCGAAGGCUGAGGCGCCGAAGGCUCGCGGGAGAGCCUUCCAGUUGACAGCGGAGGAGGUCCGCGCAGCGCCUGAUGUCGUGGCAGGUAUGCAUCCUUUCAUUAUUUAUUCUGAGUUUUAGAUAUUGUGCUUAUUUUAUGAUAUGUGUAGGUACUUUUUUGUGAGUUCUGUACCUGCUUUGGUGUUAUUUGACUCGGGAGUGACUCGAUCUUUCAUAUCUUUAGCUUUUAGCCAGCACAUCAGUAUCUGUCGAGAGGCAUUGAGUCAACCUCUUUGAGUUUCCAUAGCUGACGAGCGAGUGGUUUAUGCUACAGAUGUGAUCCGAGGGUGUAUACUCGAGAUCUUCGGUGUUGAGUUUUCGAUAGAUCUUGUCCCGAUCGCGAUGGGGGACGUUUGUGUCAUUGUGGGCAUGGAUUGGUUGAGCCGAUUUGGAGCUGUUAUAGAUUGCGAGCUCCAGUUGGUGAUGAUACGAGACCCAAGUGGGGGAGUACUUACGGUGUAUGGCGAGGGUACCCGAUCGGGGUCAGCUUUUUGUUCGGCUGCCAGAGCAAGACAGAGUUUAUAGUAGGGCUGUAAAGUAUUCGUAGCCUAUGUGAUGGAUACACGAGUGGCCGCAGAGAGGCAGAGCUCGUUCGAUGAUGUACUGAUAGUGCGUGAGUUCCUGGAUGUUUUUCCCGAGGAGUUACCGGGUGUGCCUCCCGAGAGGCAGGUGCAAUUCCGCAUUGAUUUGGUUCCGAGGGCAACACCUAUUGCCAAGGCAACCUAUUGCCUUAUGCCACCAGAGAUGCAGGAGUUAUGCUCACAGCUUUAGGAGUUGUUGGGGAAAGGAUUUAUCAGACCGAGUAGCUCACCAUGGGGAGCGUCGAUCCUUUUUGUCAAGAAAAAGGAUGGUUCACACCGAAUGUGCAUUUAUUACCGAGAGUUGAACAAGUUGACGGUCAAGAACCUUUAUCCACUACCGAGGAUCAACGACCUGUUCGAUCAGUGGUAGGGAGCAUCUUGGUUCUCCAAGAUAGACUUGAGGUCUGGAUAUCAUCAGAUGAGAGUACGUGAUGAGGAUAUCCAGAAGACGGCGUUUAGGACUCGUUACGGGCAUUACGAGUUUGUGGUGAUGCCUUUCGGACUCACCAAUGCGCUAGCAACGUUCAUGGAUCUCAUGAACAGAGUAUGAAGGCCGAUGUUGGAUAGGUCGGUGAUCGUGUUCAUCGAUGAUAUUCUAGUGUAUUCGAGAUCUAGGGAACAACAUGAGGAGCAUUUGAUGGAGAUUCUUGGGGUAUUGAGAUCGGAGAGGCUUUACGCCAAAUUCUCUAAGUGCGAUUUCUGGUUACGAGAGGUCCAGUUCUUAGGGCAUCUCGUCAACCAAAAUGGGAUAUUGGUCGAUCCGGCCAAGAUUGAGGCUGUGAUGAGGUGGGAGAUGUCGAGAUCCCCCAUCAAGAUCAGAAGUUUUCUGGGAUUGGCCGGCUACUAUCAGAGGUUUAUCAGGGAUUUCUCCAAGAUUGACAUUCCUCUCACCAGGUUGACCCGGAAGGGCGUGAAUUUUAGUUGGGUCCAGAGCAGCAGGCCUCAUUUGAGACGCUUCGCCAUAGAUUUAGCGAAGCCCCGGUGUUAUCCCUUCCAGAAGGGAUGCAACGCAUCGAUAUCGGGGUUGGGUGCGGUGCUUACGCAGAGAGGGCACGUGAUAGCAUAUGCAUCGAGGCAGCUAAAGCCCCAUGAGAUAAGGUAUCCCACCCACGAUUUAGAGUUAGUGGCAGUGGUGUUCACCCUCAAGAUAUGGCGUCAUUAUUUGUAUGGGGUUCGGUGUACCAUAUACCCGGACCACAAGAGUUUGAAGUACUUGAUGGAUCAACCCAACCUGAACUUGCGCCAGAGGAGAUGGUUAGAUGUGGUAAAGGAUUAUGACUGCGAGAUCCUGUACCACCCGAGCAAGGCUAACGUUGUAGCCGAUGCCCUGAGCCGCAUGGUGAGGAGUGCCCCGAUACGAGACAUUUGUAUGAGGAUGACGGUGAUGACUCCGGUGUUGGAUACCAUACGAGAGGCCCAAGCAGAGGUUGUGAGACUGGAGAACCGCAAGAGAGAGCAGGUCAUUGGGCAGGUAUCAGAGUUCGUUACCGAUAGCCAAGGACUUUUGACCUUUCAGGGUCGGAUUUGGGUGUCGUUUGUGGGCGGGGCACGUACCAUCCUGAUGGAGGAGGCACACAGAUUGAGGAUCUCGAUCCAUCCUGGGGCCACUAAGAUGUAUUUGGACCUGAAGAGAGCGUAUUGGUGGCCCUGUAUGAAGAGGGAUGUGGCGUGGUUUGUUGAGAGGUGCUUGACCUGUCGCAGGGUUAAGGCCGAGCAUGAACGUCUGCAUGGCAAGUUGUAGCCACUUGAGGCUCCUCAGUGAAAGUGGGAACAAAUUUCUAUGGAUUUCAUCACCAAAUUGUCGAGGACCGCGAGGGGUGUCGAUGCAAUUUGGGUGAUCGUUGACCGGCUGACGAAGAGCGCUCACUUCCUUGCCAUGAGUGAUAGCUCUUCCACGGAUAGACUGGCAAAGAUAUACGUAAGGGGGGGUGGUGUCACCGCAUGGGGUACCAAUCUCGAUUGUGUCAGAUCAAGACGUGUGUUUUACUUCCAGGUUCUGGAAGAAGUUCCAUGAGGAGUUGGGUACGAGGUUGCAUUUCAACAUCGCUUACCACCCAUAGACAGACGGACAGAGUGAAUGGACGAUUCAGAUGCUCGAGGACAUGCUUCGAUCAUGUGUGUUGGACUUCGGAGGAAGUUGGGACACGUACCUACCAUUGGCUGAGUUUUCCUAUAAUAAUAGCCACCAUUCGAGUAUUGGUAUGCCUCCCUUCGAGUUGUUGUAUGGGAGGAGGCGUCAGACUCCCAUCUGUUGGGGGGAGGUGAGGCAGCAAGUGAUGGGUAGCACUGAGAUAGUGCUUCAAACGAAUGAGCAGAUAUAGCAGGUCAGACAAAGGUUGCUGACAGCUCAGAUUCGUCAGAAAAGCUAUGCGGAUAGGCGACGAUCCGAGCUCGAGUUUCAGGUUGGUGACUUCAUUCUCCUGAAGGUAUCUCCUUGGAAAGAAGUGAUCCGAUUCAGGAAGAGGGGAAAGCUGGGGCCCCGGUACAUUGGUCCUUUCAGGGUGUUCGCAAGGGUGGGCAGGGUAGCGUAUUGUUUAAAGCCACCUGCGGAGUUGAGCCAGAUACAUGAUACCUUCCACGUGUCUCAGUUGAGGAAGUGUAUAACCGACGAGUCAGUGGUAGUGCCACUAGAGGAUAUACAGGUGGAUGCGAGCCUGAAUUAUGUUGAGUGGCCGAUCGUGAUCCUGGAUCGGAGGAUCAAGGUUCUGAGGAAACAAGGGGGUGCCCCUAGUUCAGGUCCAGUGGCAGCAUAGGAGAGGGUCCGAUAUGACUUGGGAGCCGGAGUUAGAGAUGCGGGAGCAGCAUCCAGAGUUGUUUGCAGAGCGAGACUUCGAUGGCAAAGUCUGAUUCUAGUGGGGGAGAAUUAUAACAUUCGGAAUUCCAGGUAUCAUAUUUUAAUUAUUUAUUUUUGUCAAAAGAGGGACUCGACGAGUUGACGCCUAGACUCGUCGAGUAGGAUCGCGAUUUGCUGACUGGAUUUAAUGAAGGGAUUCGACGAGUCCGCGAUGUGGGUAGAAACCCUAAAUCCUCGGUCCUGUUCCCUAUUUAAGGGAUCUUAUGGCCCUCAUUUGCAGCCACCUUCACCCUUGAGAGCACCAGAGAAACAGAGAGUGUAGAGAGAGAGAGAGAGAGAGAGAGAGGAAGCCAUUUUCAUCAUCUCUAGUGUGAUUUUGCAAGGAAGAAGGAAUGAGGGCAAUCUAGACGGCUUAAGGAGCUCAAAUCUGCUACCAUUUUAUCAGAAGAGGCUUCUAGAGAUAUGGAUCUGAUGGGUUUUGGCCAUAAUAACAUCCUAUGUGCUCAUACAAACCCUAAUGCUUGGUCUAGGUUUCUCUAUUGUACAUUCAAUUCAUCCAAGACUAUAAACCCUAGAUCUAGCAUAUGAUAAUCAAUAUAACAUAUAAAUUAGGGUUUAGAUCAUACCUUGAUUGUUAUGUAGCAAUAACAAUCUCAAAUCCUUCUUGUAUCGACUUUAGAGAGCUUAGAGUCACAAAUGUCACUCCUCUAAUGGUUCACAAACACCAAGGGCAAGAGGAUGAAGAAGAGAACAGAAGGAGGCUGCCUAAAACGUGUGGAAACCCUUGAAGACCAGUUCACCACGUUUUUGGGGCAUAAGGGUUCUUUAAAUAGUGAGGCUAUUAGGGUUAUCUAACAAGGAAACCGUAAUUUGGAUGCUUAAGCCCUAAGCAACCCAUGGGCUCCUUCCUUAAAGGCCUAGGAAGAUUUUUAAUGGGUUUCCCCAUAGAAUUCGUCCACUCCUUUAAUAUGGAGUCCAUUAGCUCAAUAUUCAACUAUCAUACAAUUGACAGUUCUAGUCCCUUAAGUUUAAUUAAUGUCUUUUAGUCACAAACUUAAUUCUUAUUAAUUCUUGACUAAUAUUAAUUAAACAAUAUGAUUUCUCCUUUAAUAUAUUAUUCUCAUAAUAUAUUAAUAAAUCAUAUUUAAUCCUUUCUCUCCAUAAUUCAUCCUAUCAAGUUGCUUUGGUGAAGGCAACCCAAAAGGACCAUGCACCAUCGGGUCAAGUACAUACCAAAAUAGUUAUGGGCUUAGACACUAAUCCAACAGCACAUACAUAUCACAUAACCGCAUAUAGCACAUACAUCCUAUCAUACAAGACCUUUCGGUCACACAUAGGUACCCUUCCAGGUACAGUAUAGUGAGAAGACUCACCUCAAUGAAGUCGGAUAAACUCUCGUGUUGCACGUCCCGACCUAGCCUCCUCCUAUUAUUCAAAUAACAUUCUCGAUCAAUACUCUCCCAUGAUCUCAUCUCUACAGACUGAGUAGAAGGCCAUUCUAUGCUUCCCUGAACUCUACUAAACUAGUCUUGACUAGAACCCUAAAGUCAACGGUCAACUUUGACCCGACUCGGCGAGUCCAAGUGGCUCCUCUGAAUUCUUUCAGACUCUCUUGGCUCGUCGAGUCUUUCUUCCACUCAACGAGUUACACCUGUCACGAAUCGCGGGGCAACCUCGACUCGACUCGUAGAGUCCGCUCAUGGACUCGGCGAUUUCAUUCCAUGCUCACACUCAAAUGACCUUCUGAGGUCAGAUCUGUUCCUCUAAUCCAGUUCUAACCNCUCAAAUGACCUUCUGAGGUCAGAUCUGUUCCUCUAAUCCAUAGUUCUAACCUUCCCAAGCUCAAUAAACACGAAAAGGUUCGAACUUGAUACUCAUGCAACGUCCAAAUGACACUACUUGAUGAUUUAGCCCCAAAUACAACAUCCUAAGUCCAUUUCUUCCAUAACUCCUCAUAAAGCAAGAUGGAAUAAAUUCUCUGGACCACUAUGGAUCCAGAUCUGAUAUCUAAACAUGAUAAGGGACCAUAUUCCCAACAAAUCAACCCAAUAAAGGGUAUAGAAAACCCUAGAUCCAUGGAUUCUUUAACAAAACAGAAAAAGGAUCGAUAUGCUACCUCAAGGAUGAUGUCCUUUGCUUGCAAUCCAUAAAUAAGCAACCUCCUUGGCCUCCUCUAAGCUGGAAUCAACCUCUUAUUGCAAAACAAACCCACAAAGGUCCAAUAAUGGCUUCUUCUCUCUCACAAACGCUCAAGCACUAUUAGGGUUUCUCUCAAGGGUCUGGUAGCCGCAAAUGGUGGCUAUAAGGGUCCUUAUAUAGGUCCCAAACUCGAGAAAUUAGGGUUUCAUUAAACAGCGUGGACUCGCCGAGUCCACGUAUGGACUCGCUGAGUCCUCCAUUAAAUACAACCGGUCAUAGUGGUCAUAUAUGAACGUUUUUUAAAAGUUUGUUAUCUAGAUGUGUACAAUAAUAAGUUAUUUACGCAGAUGUAAACAAAUCGAAAAAUUAAACACCUUAAUAAGUCAAUUUCCCUAAGUUUUUUCGAGAGUCUAAAUUGUCACUUGCUGCCGUUACACACAUUUUACAACACCGAAUAAAAAUCAAGUUAUUUUAUAUUAAAAAGACAAAACUGCAAAUUUAGUCCUUGUGGUUUGUAAAAAACUUUGGAUACGGUCCAAAAAGUUUUCGACUUCCAUGGAAGGUCCAAAAUCAAGUUUUUCUGUGUUUUUAGUCCAAAAAAACUUGAAAUGACGGUUAUACCCUUUUACUUUCUUUUUUAUUAUUUUUUUUCAUUUUUUAAAUACAAUUUUAAUUUAAAAAAGAAAAUAAAAUAUUUCUCUCUCUCUCUCUCUCUCUCUAUAUAUAUAUAUAUAUAUAUAUAUAUAUAUAUAUANCUUCAUGAAUAAUUACUAAAAAUUUAAGACAUAUAUAUAUAUAUAUAUAUAUAUAUAUAUAAAUAUAUAUAUAUAUAUAUAUCUAACAUUUGUUUUGCUUUAUUUUGAUGUUGUCUUAUUUAUUUAUAUUUACUUAUCUUCCAUCUAGAAUAUGUAUAGUCCGUCUUCCUGAUUUUCGCUCUUUAGGGUUUCGUAUGUACACUGCUUCCUGUAACAGGAUUUUUCUGCAAAAAAAAAAAUCACACGAGGAUUUCAUCUAAAGUUUUACACUUGCACAAUUUCUCUACAAUAGCGGCGGAGAAGCAUAGGAAUUUAGGUCACCCGAUUGAUGUUGCUUUACUUGAUGCUACUGUUGCUGCCUUCUAUGGCACCGAAUCUAAAGAUGAGGUGUGUCACAAUUUCUUAUCCCCUUACCCCUUACUUCUUUAAAACUCGACCAGGAAUGUGAUGCCCAGAAACAGUUUGCACUAGUUUACAGAUUUGGGGUUAAUUGUUGACUGUUUGACUAUCAUACAUUCAACUCUAUGUUGUUACAACAGCACAUCCAUCCCACUUUGAUGAUACUUAUUCCGUUUUAUCAAAUAUGUUACAACAACAUGAAAAGAGAUUGCAACGAGAAGAACAAUGUUUGACUGAAAAGUCAAAAUCGGACUUUGAUUAGAACGAAAUCUUCAUUUUUGUUUGGUGAUUCUGGAAUCUUUAUUUUUAUCGAACCUAUGGAAGAUGUGGUGGAGCUGGUCGGAAUCCAUACAACAAGAACGCGAUGUUGAUGGUGGUAGGAGUAAUGAAGUAGUGGUGGUGGUGGUGAAUUCGUGGAUCUAUUGUUGGUGGUAUGGAUUGUAAGAAUCAUCAAAUAAAAACCGGCUGAUAAAUAAUGGGAAAAGUUAGGGUUCUAGCAAACAUGGAAGAAGAUGAAGUCUUCCCAUUCACAAAUGAAUUGGGUUCAUCAAAUUUGUAUUGGGGAAGAAGAAGAAGUGGGUUGGGUUUUGACUUUUCUUUUUUAGNNNNNNNNNNNNNNNNNNNNNNNNNNNNNNNNNNNNNNNNNNNNNNNNNNNNNNNNNNNNNNNNNNNNNNNNNNNNNNNNNNNNNNUUGUAGAGAGAAGAAAAGAGAGAGAGAGAGAGAGAGAGAGAGAGAUAAAAUUAUUUUAUUUUAUUUUUUAAAUUAAAAUAGUAUUUAAAAAAUGAAAAAAAUAAUAAAAAAGAAAUUGAAAGGAUAUAACCGUCAUUUCAAUUUUUUUGGACUAAAAACACAGAAAAACCUUGAUUUUGGACCUUCCAUGAAAGUCGAAAACUUUUUGGAUCCUAUCCAAUAUUUUUUGCAAACCACAAAGAUUAAAUUUGCAGUUUUGUCUAUUAAAAUGUAAUUUUUUGAAUGUCAUUAAAAAUGUCAAAUGGUCAACUUUGUCAAUGUAAUUCUAUUUUGUGUAUGAGAUUGUACUUUCCCUUAUUUACAAAUUUUCUAUAACAUUUUUUUUUAUCUAAUCAAUCUAAUGGUAAUGAAUGGAAACUUAAGAUCGAAUAACACGUUUGCCAUUUCAAAUCAUAUAGUAAUAAAGAAUCUCAAACCAAUACAUCACUUCAUAUAAAACCAAACUCCAUUAAAUUGCUCAAUUGAUUUGUUUUUGUCGAACUAUGCAUAGCUUUAUAACGAAAACUUAGUAUCUCAAUUUUUUCCUUUUAUGAAUAGUUGGUCCUAGACAAAAUAGACUCUUUAUUUGUUUUCUUUAAUUAAAAACAGAAAAAAUUACUUUAAACAAUGGAUAAAGAAAUAGAAGAAAAAAAAAGGUAGUAUGGUCAAAAUUAAAAAGAAAAAAAAUGAGUUUGAAAUGGGUGAGUGGCAACAUCGUAAAUAUCAGUGAAAACGACAAACAAAACCAUUGGGUGGCCGUUCAUGGAAAUUCAUCCCCACCCAUUUUCUCUAUCGUACCCUCUUCACUGCUUCACACACAGGCACACUUCUUUCUUUUUCAGCAUUCUCCUUCACCCCUCGUGUUUAUAAAUCCAAAAUACACUGAAAAUCAAUCUAGAGAGAGAAUCUUGAAAGAAAGAGAGAGACACACUUCGAGCUUAGGAGGUGCGUAGGAUAAGCAGAGUGACUGUGUGUGUUGCUUAAUCAUGGUGGAUGUGAGUAUCAGUGGGAGCUUGUAGUUGGGAAGACAAAAAGCUUUUUCUCUCUCGCUUCUGGGUUUGGUUUCUUUUCACAGCUUUUGAAAAUGGCAGUCGCGUAUUUUAGCAGAAGCCGGAAAAGAAUAGGGCUUAAUAAUGGAGUUUUCCUGUUCAUCUUCAUCGUUUUGAGUCUGACCUCGCUAUCUUGCGCUGCUCGACAACCACCAGCUUCCAGGCAGAAGCUUCAAGUUCAUAAACACCUGAAACGCCUCAACAAACCCCCGGUUAAAACCAUUG
rnacentral:lncRNA from 1 species